UGGGGAAUAUUGCACAAUGGACGAAAGUCUGAUGCAGCGACGCCGCGUGAGGGAAGAAGGUUUUCGGAUUGUAAACCUCUGUCUUCGGGGACGAUAAUGACGGUACCCGAGGAGGAAGCCACGGCUAACUACGUGCCAGCAGCCGCGGUAAUACGUAGGUGGCAAGCGUUGUCCGGAAUUACUGGGUGUAAAGGGAGCGUAGGCGGGUAUUCAAGUUGAAUGUUAAAACGAUCGGCUCAACCGGUCGUCGCGUUCAAAACUGAGUAUCUUGAGUGAAGUAGAGGCAGGCGGAAUUCCUAGUGUAGCGGUGGAAUGCGUAGAUAUUAGGAGGAACACCAGUGGCGAAGGCGGCCUGCUGGGCUUUUACUGACGCUGAGGCUCGAAAGUAUGGGGAGCAAACA
rnacentral:rRNA from 1 species